UGCUGGGUACUCGAGUGGCGAACGGGUGAGUAACACGUGGGUGAUCUGCCCUGCACUCUGGGAUAAGCCUGGGAAACUGGGUCUAAUACCGGAUAUGACCAACUGUCGCAUGGUGGUUGGUGGAAAGCUUUUGCGGUGUGGGAUGGGCCCGCGGCCUAUCAGCUUGUUGGUGGGGUAAUGGCCUACCAAGGCGACGACGGGUAGCCGACCUGAGAGGGUGAUCGGCCACACUGGGACUGAGACACGGCCCAGACUCCUACGGGAGGCAGCAGUGGGGAAUAUUGCACAAUGGGCGCAAGCCUGAUGCAGCGACGCCGCGUGAGGGAUGACGGCCUUCGGGUUGUAAACCUCUUUCACCAGGGACGAAGCGUGAGUGACGGUACCUGGAGAAGAAGCACCGGCCAACUACGUGCCAGCAGCCGCGGUAAUACGUAGGGUGCGAGCGUUGUCCGGAAUUACUGGGCGUAAAGAGCUCGUAGGCGGUUUGUCGCGUCGUCUGUGAAAUUCUGCAACUCAAUUGCAGGCGUGCAGGCGAUACGGGCAGACUUGAGUACUACAGGGGAGACUGGAAUUCCUGGUGUA
rnacentral:rRNA from 1 species